AGUCAACCUACCCUAUGGACGGGAAUAAUCUCGGGAAACUGAGGUUAAUGCCCGAUAGAACACUAUGCCUGGAACGGUUUGUGUUCCAAAUGAUUUAUCGCCGUAGGAUGGGACUGCGGCCUAUCAGUUUGUUGGUGAGGUAAUGGCCCACCAAGACUAUUACAGGUACGGGCUCUGAGAGGAGUAGCCCGGAGAUGGGUACUGAGACACGGACCCAGGCCCUAUGGGGCGCAGCAGGCGAGAAAACUUUGCAAUGUGCGAAAGCACGACAAGGUUAAUCCGAGUGGUUCCUGCUAAAGGAACCUUUUGACGGUCCUAAAAACACCGUUGAAUAAGGGGUGGGCAAGUUCUGGUGUCAGCCGCCGCGGUAAAACCAGCACCUCAAGUGGUCAGGAUGAUUAUUGGGCCUAAAGCAUCCGUAGCCGGCUCUGUUAGUUUUCGGUUAAAUCUGUACGCUCAACGUACAGGCUGCCGGGAAUACUGCAGAGCUAGGGAGUGGGAGAGGUAGACGGUACUUGGUAGGAAGGGGUAAAAUCCUUUGAUCUAUUGAUGACCACCUGUGGCGAAGGCGGUCUACCAGAACACGUCCGACGGUGAGGGAUGAAAGCUGGGGGAGCAAACCGGAUUAGAUACCCGGGUAGUCCCAGCUGUAAACCAUGCAAACUCAAUGAUGCACUGGCUUGAAGCCAGUGCAGUGUU
rnacentral:rRNA from 1 species